UGCUUCGCGAACUAUGUACUGUCCUCCAGGCACCACAGACAGUGAAGACUGGCAAGGCAACCGAACAGAUGGGAGCUGGAGAAGCGAUGGUGUAGUCAACGGUGCACUGGCUACAUUACCCGGCACAGGUUGCAACUCGGCAAGGCUUGCUUGUGCCAUUCGCGAUAAGCUGUGCAGACAUUUCAUAACAGAGGACAGGCUGCCAUGGCAGGUGAAACAUGUGAAAGACUGCAGAUGGUAACCAGACAACACUGCCAGUCGUUGCAGCUCGACGACCACUUCUCUCGGAUGAGCUGCUGCCACACCUCUCCAGGUUCACUGCAUCAUCUUCAAAGAUGUCGUUGCACAAAAACUCGUCUUCGACUUCGUCUUUGCUUGUGGCAAG